rnacentral:rRNA from 1 species
UACGAAGGGGGCUAGCGUUGCUCGGAAUCACUGGGCGUAAAGCGCACGUAGGCGGAUCUUUAAGUCAGGGGUGAAAUCCUGGAGCUCAACUCCAGAACUGCCUUUGAUACUGGGGAUCUCGAGUCCGGAAGAGGUGAGUGGAACUCCGAGCGUAGAGGUGAAAUUCGUAGAUAUUCGGAAGAACACCAGUGGCGAAGGCGGCUCACUGGUCCGGUACUGACGCUGAGGUGCGAAAGCGUGGGGAGCAAACAGG